rnacentral:rRNA from 1 species
UAAUACGGAGGGUGCAAGCGUUAUCCGGAUUUACUGGGUUUAAAGGGUGCGUAGGUGGGUCUGUAAGUCAGUGGUGAAAUCUCCGAGCUUAACUCGGAAACUGCCAUUGAUACUAUAGGUCUUGAAUUAUCUGGAGGUAAGCGGAAUAUGUCAUGUAGCGGUGAAAUGCUUAGAUAUGACAUAGAACACCAAUUGCGAAGGCAGCUUACUACGGAUCGAUUGACACUGAGGCACGAAAGCGUGGGGAUCAAACAGGAUUAGAUACCCUGGUAGUCCACGCCCUAAACGAUGGAUACUCGACAUUUGCGAUAUACUGUAAGUGUCUGAGCGAAAGCAUUAAGUAUCCCACCUGGGAAGUACGAUCGCAAGAUUG